rnacentral:rRNA from 1 species
AGUGAACGCUGGCGGUAGGCCUAACACAUGCAAGUCGAACGGCAGCACAGUAAGAGCUUGCUCUUACGGGUGGCGAGUGGCGGACGGGUGAGGAAUACAUCGGAAUCUACUUUUUCGUGGGGGAUAACGUAGGGAAACUUACGCUAAUACCGCAUACGACCUACGGGUGAAAGCAGGGGAUCUUCGGACCUUGCGCGAUUGAAUGAGCCGAUGUCGGAUUAGCUAGUUGGCGGGGUAAAGGCCCACCAAGGCGACGAUCCGUAGCUGGGCUGAGAGGAUGAACGAGCCCAAUUGAAAUGGAACAAGGGCCCAACCCCCUAGGGGGGGAAGAGGUGGGGAAAUUGGGCAAAGGGGCGAAAGCUUGACCAACCAAUCCCGGGGGGUGAAAAAGGGCUUUGGGUUGUAAAACCCUUUUUGUUGGGAAAAAAAACAAGAAGGUUAAACCCCCGUGUUUUGGCGGUACCCAAAAAAAAAAGCCCGGCUAAAUUCGUG